rnacentral:misc_RNA from 1 species
GCACUGUGCAUCUUCCACAGAACUAAAUGCGUCACGGCUGAACUUCAUUGUGGGAAUAGCAGAAACAAGCACUGGUUGAAGGCCACUAAUCCGAUGUUCUGGCUGUUCAAGGUCAAUCCUGGNNACAUUUGCCUGGAUUCGGACGCUCGAAGCCUCCCACAUAUUAUUCUUGUGCAAACAAAAACAAUAAAAGUGGCACUCAUCCCAAACCCAAUAAUAGUAGUGAUCAAAUUCAUC